rnacentral:rRNA from 1 species
AUGGCUUAUCCACUACUGGGACCCGAUUUUUUUUGCUUCCAGCAGCGCAGGAGCAGCUUCCCCUGCGCCUUCGGUGGCGGCUUCCCCUGCUCACGGCCACCGAGCCAUGGGGCGGCGACGCAGUGCUACGUGGUGGUGCACCUGGACGCGAAUGGCAUGUUGGGCAUGUACUGGAGUGACAACAACAUGUAUGAGAUGAGCGACAACGCCAAGGACGCUGACCUGAUGAUCGAUGAGCAAUUUGGCCAAGCACUAGGCCAACUUGAGGGUGGGCCCCAUCAUGUCCAAGAUGAUGGAUACGGUGGACGGGACUGGUGGCGCUUUUUGUGA